ACUCAAAGGAAUAGACGGGGACCCGCACAAGCAGUGGAUCAUGUGGUUUAAUUCGACACUAAACGAGGAACCUCACCUAGGCUUGACAUUGAUAGAAGAAAGCAGAAAUGUUUUUGUGCCCGCAAGGGAACUUGAAAACAGGCGCUGCAUGGUUGUCGUCAGCUCGUGCCUUGAGGUGUUCGGUUAAGUCCGUUAACGAGCGCAACCCACGUCGUUAGUUAUUAUGUCUAACGAGACUGCUCGAGUUAAUCGAGAGGAAGGUGUGGAUGACGUCAAAUCAGCAUGGCCCUUAUGCCUAGGGCUACACACAUGAUACAAUGGUCGGUACAAAGAGCAGCCAACCCGCGAGGGUGAGCCAAUCCCAAAAAGCCGAUCUCAGUCCAGAUUGGAGUCUGCAACUCGACUCCAUGAAGUUGGAAUUGCUAGUAAUCGUGAAUCAGCUAUGUCACGGUGAAUCUGUUCCCGGGUCUUGUACACACCGCCCGU
rnacentral:rRNA from 1 species